AACGAACGCUGGCGGCAGGCUUAACACAUGCAAGUCGAACGCCCCGCAAGGGGAGUGGCAGACGGGUGAGUAACGCGUGGGAAUCUACCUAGUUCUACGGAACAACACAGGGAAACUUGUGCUAAUACCGUAUACGCCCUAAGGGGGAAAGAUUUAUCGGAAUUAGAUGAGCCCGCGUAAGAUUAGCUAGUUGGUGAGGUAAUGGCUCACCAAGGCGACGAUCUUUAGCUGGUCUGAGAGGAUGAUCAGCCACACUGGGACUGAGACACGGCCCAGACUCCUACGGGAGGCAGCAGUGGGGAAUAUUGGACAAUGGGCGAAAGCCUGAUCCAGCCAUGCCGCGUGAGUGAUGAAGGCCUUAGGGUUGUAAAGCUCUUUCAGUAGGGAAGAUAAUGACGGUACCUACAGAAGAAGCCCCGGCUAACUUCGUGCCAGCAGCCGCAGUAACAC
rnacentral:rRNA from 1 species